GCCUGGGUGGCUCAGUCGGUUGAGCAUCUGACUUCGGCUCAGGUCAUGAUCUCACAGUUCGUGGGUUCGUGGGUUCGAACCCCACAUCAGGCU
rfam:Felis catus isolate Cinnamon breed Abyssinian chromosome A3, whole genome shotgun sequence.